UAGGGAAUCUUCCGCAAUGGACGAAAGUCUGACGGAGCAACGCCGCGUGAGUGAAGAAGGAUUUCGGUUCGUAAAACUCUGUUGUUAGGGAAGAAAAAAUGUAUAGUAACUAUAUACAAAAGAGACGGUACCUAACCAGAAAGCCACGGCUAACUACGUGCCAGCAGCCGCGGUAAUACGUAGGUGGCAAGCGUUGUCCGGAAUUAUUGGGCGUAAAGCGCGCGCAGAUGGUUUAGAAAGUCUGAUGUGAAAGCCCACGGCUCAACCGUGGAGGGUCAUUGGAAACUAAUAAACUUGAGUGCAGGAGAGAAAAGUGGAAUUCCUAGUGUAGCGAUGAAAUGCGUAGAGAUUAGGAGGAACACCGGUGGCGAAAGCGGCUUUUUGGCCUGCAACUGACACUGAGGCGCGAAAGCGUGGGGAGCAAACAGG
rnacentral:rRNA from 1 species